rnacentral:lncRNA from 1 species
UUGUCUGGACUUUUGUUCUGCUCUGUUUUAUACUUGCUUGGUGUUCAUACAAGGGGCCUCAUGUGGCAGCAGAACAGCACGGAGCAUUAUGUCCAGCAGAGCAUCCUUGCUUCCUGCCCUGGCUACCAAAGAAACUUCUGCAGGUCUGCCGCCUGGCAGCCGGGACCCUGCGGCCCUUUCUCAGUCACAAGCCAUGAUGACAUGGGGAUCCGGACGCUUUGUGCUCUUAGCUUUUGAGGCUGGGCCUGCACAGCUUGGCUUCCACCUGGGGGCUGGCUCCGUCUGCAUUUGCAUGUGUCUGCCUGAAGAGAACUGUCCUGAUUUGCACUAGGGAGGGCAGGGCUGCCUGCUGGGCAGUACUGAGGGCAAACUGCUAGGGAACACUUCUGACCUUGUGUGCUUGCAUUUGUUGCUGAACUUGGAAGGUCUCUAGCAGGUUCUAGGUCUUUCUCUAGGCUUGAGGUGCUCACAGCUGGACUGCAGACUCCCCCGACCAUGGGCAUUUACCGUCUCUGAACACUGCAGUUUGCGAGGCUGGUGCCGAGGCUGGAGGACUCUGUAGUGCUUCUGACAUGGUGCAUGUCUCAAAGAAAAAAAAAAAA